GACUGACAAAGGCAAACUUGUCGAAAGACAGUGACGCAAAGCUAUUGAUCUAAGGCACAGCAGCAGUUGGCAACCAUAUGAUUUUCCAACUGCCCGGUUGCUAUGACCGCAGGGCUGCCAAC
rnacentral:ncRNA from 1 species